GGAAGUCGCGGCUGAGGGAGACUAGGGGGAGGUGGGUGCGCCUCAGGCCGCCGCCACUGCCGCCGCCGCCGCGUAAAGGGAGGAGGGAGAGGAAGGGGAGGAGUUGGGGCGACUGCAGUUGCUGCCUCUUGUCCCACCCCCGGCCUCGAAGAGGUGGCGGAGGCUGGAUGUUGAUGGUUGGGGUUCCUCCACCCUGGGGGAGGGAAAGGGGGAGGGGGAGACGCCGGGUGUGCAGACUGUAAGGACAGGAGCCUCUUCCCCCGCCCCGCUCCGCCGCGGGAGCGCGCGCGCACGUGUAGUGCGCGCACGCAGAUGCCUCGGCGGCCGGAGGUGAGAGCGAUCGGCUGGGUUUCGGAGCUCCGAGCCCCGGGGGGAUUCGCCCGCGUCUCAUCUGCCCGGAGAGGAGCACUAGGCCCAGCCGCUGCCACCCUCCCGGAGGGAUGAAAUUGGGUUUUCCCAAGUGGCACUGAGACCUGCUUCCAAAUUAGAUAUCCUGUGGCAGUAUAGCUUUGUGGGAGACUGGUGUUUAAUGGCCACAGAGGAAGUGGAGCUAUAGGAAAUCAGAAGUUUGCUCAGCCUAGGACACCUCAGCCAUUGAACUAAAGAACAGAGAGAAGUGGAGCAGAGUGCCAGUGUGGAGUGCUACACCAAGCAUAAAGGAAAGGACGCUAGAAUCUAGCUGGGACCAGUUCUGUACUCACUGAAGUCACUUGGUGUAGGGACUGAGGCUAGUGAAAAGUGAAUUCCCCAGUGUGGUGUGGGAAGAGGCAGAGACACCUCUGAGUUCCAACCUUCAGGGGAUCUGCCAUCAAAAGAAAAAGAAUCAGAAACUGAAUGAGAAGGGAGUAAAAGAAAAAAGACUGACGUUACAAAAGAUCCUAGAAGAAAAUUCUGUUUAUAAAGUUGAGUGUGCACAGGAAUAUCAACAGCUUCGCUGUUAAUAAUAGAAGGGAAGAUGGCAUCUAAAGAAACCCAGAAAUCUCUGAGUAAAUAUAACAAGACAAGGAAAAAUGAAGCAACACGUGAUGAGGCAGCAAAAAGUUUUGAUUCUCAAGAGAGUAUGGAAUCACAGCAGGAUGUUCCUGAGUGGUACAAGAGAGAAAUAAGAAUCUUCAAAGCAGAAUGUAUGGCCUAUACAGGAGAAAUAAUUGACAGAAUUGAAAAACUUGAAUCUGCCUUAGCAAAUCUCUCCAAAGAAGCAAAAGAGAAAAAGCUUUAAUUCUUUGAGGAACACAGAAUAAAGAAGAAAUAAAGAUGUCUAAAGACCAUGAAUGAAAGAAUAAAAGUUUAAAAUAGAAAAGAGAAUUGAUGAAGAUAACAAAGUUAAGAAAUCCUUUUUACAAGAAGACAAAAUAUUAAAAAACUAAUAAGUUAAAAGAGAGAAGAGGAAGGGAGGAUUUUAGCCAACUAAUGGAGAAAAAAAAGAAUCAAAUCAUGUAAAGGGAAGAAUGAAAAAAGAAUGAAUAAACUAAAAACUAAGGGAAAAAAUGAAAAACAGAGGGGGUGGGGAGAAUGGAAGAAUAUUUAUUUAUUUGUUUGUUUGUUUGUUUGUUUAUUUAUGUGUAGCAUUACUUUUUUUAUAUUUUGAGUUCCAGAUUCUCUCCCCCGCCUAUUGAGAAGGCAAGCAAUAUGAUAACCCAUUACACCUGUGAAAUCACUCAAAACAUUUCUGUAUUAGCUGGGGGGGCGGGGGGGCCAGGGUGGGGAAGGGGAGAGUGAAAAAUAAUGAAAAUGAAAAACUGCACUCAGUUCAUCAUCUGUCUCCAGAGGUAAAUAGCGUUUUUCAUCAUGAGUCCUUUGGAGUUACCUUGGAUCAUUGUAUUGAUCAGAGCAGCUAAGUCUUUCAUAGUUGACCAUCAUUACAGUAUUGCUGUUUGUAUGUAUAAUAUUCUGCUAGUUUUGCUCACUUCACUUUUUAUGAGUUUGCUUAUGUCUUCCCAGGUUUUUCUGAAACCAUCCUGUUCGUCAUUUCUUAUAGCAUGAUAGUAUUCUAUCACAAUCAUGUACCACAACUUGUUCAGCCAUUCCACAAUUAAUGGGCAUCCCCUAAAUUUCCAAAUCUUUGCCACCACAAAAAGAGCUGCUAUAAAUAUUUUUGUACAUAUGGGUCCUUUUCUUUUUUCCUUGAUCUCUGGGAUACAGACCAGUGGUAUUGUGAGGUCAAUGAGUAUGUCCUUUGGGCAUAGUUCUAAAUUGUUCUCCAAAAUGGCUGAACCAGUUCAAAACUCCACCAGCAAUGUAUUCAUACCCCUAUAUUUCCACAUCCUCUCCAGCAUUUAUAAUUUUCCUUUUCUGUCACAUCAGCCAAUCUGAUAAGUGAGGUGGUACUUUAGAAUUGUCUUAAUUUGCAUUUCUCUAAUCAGUAGUGAUUUAGAGCAUGUUUUCAUCUGAUUGAUAGCUUUGAUUUCUUCUGAAAAUUGCCUGUUCAUAUCCUUUGACUAUCAAUCAGGAAUGGAGGGAGGAAUUUAAGAGUGAAGAGAGGAAAACUUACAGAAAGAGGGUUUCCUUAAAAUAACUUAAACAAUGAUAUCUUUAAAGAGGAUGCCAGUUCAGAAAAAGAAAGCCAUAUUAGAGACAAGGAUAAAAAUAGAAACCUAACUCAUAACAUUACAUGUGAAUGGAUUAAAUAAUCCAAUAAAACAAAAGAGUUCCAAUUGAAUAAGAAAGCAGAACCCCAAAAUCUGUUGCUUAGCAGUUUGUUGAGAGUUUUUUUUCUCCCUCUUCAUUCUUUUUUGCUUUAAAAAAUAGUCUUUUUUAUAUGGAGGGACCCCUGUGAAAGGAGAGGGGUACUAGAAGAAAUCAGUCAAUGUAACAACAAAUUCAUCAAUAAAGAUUUUAAAAAGAAAGUGGUGUUGUGAUCAGGCAACACACAUUCUGUCAUCAGUAACUGU